AUGAAGAACGUAGCGAAAUGCGAUACUUGGUGUGAAUUGCAGAAUCCCGUGAAUCAUCGAGUCUUUGAACGCAAGUUGCGCCUGAAGCCAUUAGGCCGAGGGCACGCCUGCAUGGGCGUCACGC
rnacentral:rRNA from 2 species